rnacentral:rRNA from 1 species
AUUGAACGCUGGCGGCAUGCUUUACACAUGCAAGUCGAACGGCAGCGGGGAGGAGCUUGCUUCUCUGCCGGCGAGUGGCGAACGGGUGAGUAAUACAUCGGAACGUGUCGAGAAGAGGGGGAUAACCACCCGAAAGGGUGGCUAAUACCGCAUAAAUUCUGAGGAAGAAAGCCGGGGACCUGGGAAUAGGCCUAGCGCUUUUUGAGCGGCCGAUGUCGGAUUAGCUAGUUGGUGAGGUAAAGGCUCACCAAGGCGAAGAUCUGUAGCGGGUCUGAGAGGAUGAUCCGCCACACUGGGACUGAGACACGGCCCAGACUCCUACGGGAGGCAGCAGUGGGGAAUUUUGGACAAUGGGGGCAACCCUGAUCCAGCCAUGCCGCGUGUAUGAAGAAGGCCUUAGGGUUGUAAAGUACUUUUGUUAGGGAAGAAAAGUCAGCUGUGAAUAAUGGCUGAUACUGACGGUACCUAAAGAAUAAGCACCGGCUAACUACGUG